rnacentral:tRNA from 1 species
CGUCCCGUGGUGUAGUGGUUAGCACUCAGGACUCUGCAUCCUGCGACCCGAAUUCAAAUCUCGACGGGACCU